GAGGAUAUGGCUCAGUGGUAGAGCACAUGCUUAGCAGACAUGAAGUCCUGGGUUCAAUUCCCAGCACCUCCA
rnacentral:tRNA from 1 species